CAAGGAAUAUUGGGCAAUGGGCGAAAGCCUGACCCAGCGACGCCGCGUGGAGGAAGAAGACCUUCGGGUUGUAAACUCCUUUUCUUGGGGAAGAAUAAUGACGGUACCCAAGGAAUAAGCCUCGGCCAACUACGUGCCAGCAGCCGCGGUAAUACGUAGGAGGCAAGCGUUAUCCGGAUUUACUGGGCGUAAAGAGUACGUAGGCGGCUUUGCAAGUCGGAUGUAAAAUCUCCCGGCUUAACUGGGAGGGCGCAUUCGAAACUGCUUGGCUUGAGUGCCGCAGAGGGAAGUGGAAUUCCCGGUGUAGUGGUGAAAUGCGUAGAUAUCGGGAGGAACACCAGUGGCGAAGGCGACUUUCUGGGCGGUAACUGACGCUGAGGUACGAAGGCGUGGGGAGCAAACAG
rnacentral:rRNA from 1 species